UACGAAGGGGGCUAGCGUUGCUCGGAAUCACUGGGCGUAAAGGGUGCGUAGGCGGGUCUUUUAAAUCAGGGGUGAAAUCCUGGAGCUCAACUCCAGAACUGCCUUUGAUACUGGUGAGCUUGAGUCCGGAAGAGGUGAGUGGAACUGCGAGUGUAGAGGUGAAAUUCGUAGAUAUUCGCAAGAACACCAGUGGCGAAGGCGGCGACCUGGACAGAUAUUGACGCUGAGGUGCGAAAGCGUGGGGAGCAAACAGG
rnacentral:rRNA from 1 species